rnacentral:sRNA from 1 species
GCGGCGGCGGCGGAGGCAUCCCGUUGGCGGAAGUAGAAGGCGAGGAGGGUGUUGCGGUGGAAGGCGCUGAGCGGGAGUGCGAGGCGGACGGCGAGGCCGUGGAUGGCGCGGGCGAGGAGGGGGUGGUCGCCGAGGCGGGAGAAGCCGGCGCG